GUAUGGCUGAGUACUGUGUUCUUUUUCUCAGUGAUUUACAUAGCCAGACACCAUGCAAAAGUAAAGUCAUCCCUUUGAAAUGCCUGUGAUGACUGAU